GCGGGACACGUGGUAUCCUGUCUGAAUAUGGGGGGACCAUCCUCCAAGGCUAAAUACUCCUGACUGACCGAUAGUGAACCAGUACCGUGAGGGAAAGGCGAAAAGAACCCCGGCGAGGGGAGUGAAAAAGAACCUGAAACCGUGUACGUACAAGCAGUGGGAGCCUCUUAAUGGGGUGACUGCGUACCUUUUGUAUAAUGGGUCAGCGACUUAUAUUCUGUAGCAAGGUUAACCGAAUAGGGGAGCCGAAGGGAAACCGAGUCUUAACUGGGCGUUAAGUUGCAGGGUAUAGACCCGAAACCCGGUGAUCUAGCCAUGGGCAGGUUGAAGGUUGGGUAACACUAACUGGAGGACCGAACCGACUAAUGUUGAAAAAUUAGCGGAUGACUUGUGGCUGGGGGUGAAAGGCCAAUCAAACCGGGAGAUAGCUGGUUCUCCCCGAAAGCUAUUUAGGUAGCGCCUCGUGAAUUCAUCUCCGGGGGUAGAGCACUGUUUCGGCAAGGGGGUCAUCCCGACUUACCAACCCGAUGCAAACUGCGAAUACCGGAGAAUGUUAUCACGGGAGACACACGGCGGGUGCUAACGUCCGUCGUGAAGAGGGAAACAACCCAGACCGCCAGCUAAGGUCCCAAAGUCAUGGUUAAGUGGGAAACGAUGUGGGAAGGCCCAGACAGCCAGGAUGUUGGCUUAGAAGCAGCCAUCAUUUAAAGAAAGCGUAAUAGCUCACUGGUCGAGUCGGCCUGCGCGGAAGAUGUAACGGGGCUAAACCAUGCACCGAAGCUGCGGCAGCGACACUAUGUGUUGUUGGGUAGGGGAGCGUUCUGUAAGCCUGUGAAGGUGGCCUGUGAGGGUUGCUGGAGGUAUCAGAAGUGCGAAUGCUGACAUAAGUAACGAUAAAGCGGGUGAAAAGCCCGCUCGCCGGAAGACCAAGGGUUCCUGUCCAACGUUAAUCGGGGCAGGGUGAGUCGACCCCUAAGGCGAGGCCGAAAGGCGUAGUCGAUGGGAAACAGGUUAAUAUUCCUGUACUUGGUGUUACUGCGAAGGGGGGACGGAGAAGGCUAUGUUGGCCGGGCGACGGUUGUCCCGGUUUAAGCGUGUAGGCUGGUUUUCCAGGCAAAUCCGGAAAACCAAGGCUGAGGCGUGAUGACGAGGCACUACGGUGCUGAAGCGACAAAUGCCCUGCUUCCAGGAAAAGCCUCUAAGCAUCAGGUAACAUCAAAUCGUACCCCAAACCGACACAGGUGGUCAGGUAGAGAAUACCAAGGCGCUUGAGAGAACUCGGGUGAAGGAACUAGGCAAAAUGGUGCCGUAACUUCGGGAGAAGGCACGCUGAUAUGUAGGUGAAGCGACUUGCUCGUGGAGCUGAAAUCAGUCGAAGAUACCAGCUGGCUGCAACUGUUUAUUAAAAACACAGCACUGUGCAAACACGAAAGUGGACGUAUACGGUGUGACGCCUGCCCGGUGCCGGAAGGUUAAUUGAUGGGGUUAGCGGUAACGCGAAGCUCUUGAUCGAAGCCCCGGUAAACGGCGGCCGUAACUAUAACGGUCCUAAGGUAGCGAAAUUCCUUGUCGGGUAAGUUCCGACCUGCACGAAUGGCGUAAUGAUGGCCAGGCUGUCUCCACCCGAGACUCAGUGAAAUUGAACUCGCUGUGAAGAUGCAGUGUACCCGCGGCAAGACGGAAAGACCCCGUGAACCUUUACUAUAGCUUGACACUGAACAUUGAGCCUUGAUGUGUAGGAUAGGUGGGAGGCUUUGAAGUGUGGACGCCAGUCUGCAUGGAGCCGACCUUGAAAUACCACCCUUUAAUGUUUGAUGUUCUAACGUUGGCCCGUAAUCCGGGUUGCGGACAGUGUCUGGUGGGUAGUUUGACUGGGGCGGUCUCCUCCUAAAGAGUAACGGAGGAGCACGAAGGUUGGCUAAUCCUGGUCGGACAUCAGGAGGUUAGUGCAAUGGCAUAAGCCAGCUUGACUGCGAGCGUGACGGCGCGAGCAGGUGCGAAAGCAGGUCAUAGUGAUCCGGUGGUUCUGAAUGGAAGGGCCAUCGCUCAACGGAUAAAAGGUACUCCGGGGAUAACAGGCUGAUACCGCCCAAGAGUUCAUAUCGACGGCGGUGUUUGGCACCUCGAUGUCGGCUCAUCACAUCCUGGGGCUGAAGUAGGUCCCAAGGGUAUGGCUGUUCGCCAUUUAAAGUGGUACGCGAGCUGGGUUUAGAACGUCGUGAGACAGUUCGGUCCCUAUCUGCCGUGGGCGCUGGAGAACUGAGGGGGGCUGCUCCUAGUACGAGAGGACCGGAGUGGACGCAUCACUGGUGUUCGGGUUGUCAUGCCAAUGGCACUGCCCGGUAGCUAAAUGCGGAAGAGAUAAGUGCUGAAAGCAUCUAAGCACGAAACUUGCCCCGAGAUGAGUUCUCCCUGAGACUUAGAGUCUCCUGAAGGAACGUUGAAGACGACGACGUUGAUAGGCCGGGUGUGUAAGCGCAGCGAUGCGUUGAGCUAACCGGUACUAAUGAACCGUGAGGCUUAACCUUACAACGCCGAAG
rnacentral:rRNA from 1 species